GACGAACGCUGGCGGCGUGCUUAACACAUGCAAGUCGAACGGAAAGGCCCUGCUUUUGUGGGGUGCUCGAGUGGCGAACGGGUGAGUAACACGUGAGUAACCUGCCCUUGACUUUGGGAUAACUUCAGGAAACUGGGGCUAAUACCGGAUAGGAGCUACUGCUGCAUGGUGGGGGUUGGAAAGUUUCGGCGGUUGGGGAUGGACUCGCGGCUUAUCAGCUUGUUGGUGGGGUAGUGGCUUACCAAGGCUUUGACGGGUAGCCGGCCUGAGAGGGUGACCGGCGACAUUGCGACUGAGGUACGGACCAGACUCCUAUGGGAGGCAGUAGUGGAGAGUAUUACACAGUGGGCGGGAGCCAGAUGCGGCAGCGCCGCGUGCGGGAUGACGGCCUUCGGGUUGUAAACCGCUUUCGCCUGUGACGAAGCGUGAGUGACGGUAAUGGGUAAAGAAGCACCGGCUAACUACGUG
rnacentral:rRNA from 1 species